rnacentral:rRNA from 1 species
UACAGAGGUCCCAAGCGUUGUUCGGAUUCACUGGGCGUAAAGGGUGCGUAGGCGGCCGGGUAAGUCUGAUGUGAAAUCUCACAGCUUAACUGUGAAACUGCAUUGGAUACUAUCCGGCUCGAGGAAUGGAGGGGAGACUGGAAUACUUGGUGUAGCAGUGAAAUGCGUAGAUAUCAAGUGGAACACCAGUGGCGAAGGCGAGUCUCUGGACAUUUCCUGACGCUGAGGCACGAAAGCCAGGGGAGCAAACGGG